GAAGUAGACCAAAGUUUGUCUGAUCCCGUCCAUCUGUUUGAACGAAACUAUCUGGACAUCCUGAAGUUCCGCGUUCCUGCUGUACUUCUCCUGAUGAUUAUCAGUGUAAUUGUCGUAAAUUUAAGAUACUGGAGGAAAUCUGUUCAACAAGGAACAACAAACACCGAAU